GACGAACGCUGGCGGCGUGCUUAACACAUGCAAGUCGAACGGUGAAGCGCCUUCCUUUUUGGUGGGUGUGGAUGAGUGGCGAACGGGUGAGGAACACGUGAGUAACCUGCCCCCUUCUUCUGGAUAACCGCAUGAAAGUGUGGCUAAUACGGGAUAUUCUGGGUCUGUCGCAUGAUGGGUCUGGGAAAGAUAUUGUUUCGGUGGGGGAUGGGCUCGCGGCCUAUCAGCUUGUUGGUGGGGUGAUGGCCUACCAAGGCGGUGACGGGUAGCCGGCCUGAGAGGGUGGACGGUCACACUGGGACUGAGACACGGCCCAGACUCCUACGGGAGGCAGCAGUGGGGAAUAUUGCACAAUGGGCGCAAGCCUGAUGCAGCGACGCCGCGUGAGGGAUGGAGGCCUUCGGGUUGUGAACCUCUUUCGCCAGUGAAGCAGGCCUGCCUCGUUUGUGGGUGGGUUGACGGUAGCUGGAUAAGAAGCGCCGGCUAACUACG
rnacentral:rRNA from 1 species